GUGGGGAAUCUUCCGCAAUGGACGAAAGUCUGACGGAGCAACGCCGCGUGAGUGAUGAAGGUCUUCGGAUUGUAAAGCUCUGUUAAUCGGGACGAAAGAGCCUAGUGUGAAUAAUGCUAGGAAGUGACGGUACCGGAAUAGAAAGCCACGGCUAACUACGUGCCAGCAGCCGCGGUAAUACGUAGGUGGCAAGCGUUGUCCGGAAUUAUUGGGCGUAAAGCGCGCGUAGGCGGAUCUGCCAGUCUGUCUUAAAAGUUCGGGGCUUAACCCCGUGAUGGGAUGGAAACUACAGAUCUAGAGUAUCGGAGAGGAAAGUGGAAUUCCUAGUGUAGCGGUGAAAUGCGUAGAUAUUAGGAAGAACACCAGUGGCGAAGGCGACUUUCUGGACGAAAACUGACGCUGAGGCGCGAAAGCCAGGGGAGCGAACGGGAUUAGAAACCCGAGUAGUCC
rnacentral:rRNA from 1 species